rnacentral:misc_RNA from 1 species
UUCUCAUCCAGCUAAGCUAUUUCGAAUUGAGAAAGGGCAGCUGGAACCUCAUGGUGAUGGAUCUUUGACAAGGGACCUGCUAGAAACACAUAAAUGCUACAUUCUAGAUUGUGGAUCUGAAGUAUUUGCAUGGAUGGGAAGAAAUACCUCUCUUGAUGACCGCAAGAAGGCGACUGCAGCUGCAGAGCAACUGGUGCAUGGACCUGAUAGACCAAAAUCACAAUUAACUUGUGUGAUUGAAGGUUUCGAGACGGCAACAUUCCGGUCAAAAUUUGAUUCAUGGCCUCAAGUUACCAAUGUAGUUGUAUCAGAG